rnacentral:rRNA from 1 species
AUUGAACGCUGGCGGCAGGCCUAACCCAUGCAAGUCGAACGAGUGGCGGACGGGUGAGUAAUGUCUGGGAAACUGCCUGAUGGAGGGGGAUAACUACUGGAAACGGUAGCUAAUACCGCAUACCAUCGGAUGUGCCCAGAUGGGAUUAGCUAGUAGGUGGGGUAAAGGCUACCCUAGGCGACGAUCCCUAGCUGGUCUGAGAGUAGGACCAGCCAAACUGGAACUGAGACACGGUCCAGACUCCUACGGGAGGCAGAAGUGGGGAAUAUUGGACAAUGGGCGAAAGCCUGAUACAGCCAUGCCGCGUGGAUGAAGAAGGCCUUCGGGUUGUAAAGUACUUUCAGCGGGGAGGCGUUACCCGCAGAAAAAGCACCGGCUAACUCCGUGCCAGCAGCCGCGGUAAUUC